UUAAUUAAUACGUAGUACUCGGACGGCACGUUUAAUAUCAGGGAUUUUAGGACGUCUGGCGGGCACACACCAGCGAGUUGCCGGUGGCCUAAGCGGUCGGCCCGCCAAAGCAACACGAGUAAUGUAAACAGGGUGGGAGAUCUACCCCGAAGGGCAUGAGCUCGGUAAUGAUCCUUCCGCAGGUUCACCUAGUGACUGUUAGUAAGGCUCACUUAUAAGUAGGACGGGACGUGUACGUACCUACGGAAA
rnacentral:misc_RNA from 1 species